UACGGUAGGGUCCGAGCGUUUGUCCGGAAUUACUGGGCGUAAAGAGCUCGUAGGUGGUCUGUCGCGUCUGCUGUGAAAACUCGGGGCUUAACCCCGAGCCUGCAGUGGAUACGGGCAGACUAGAGGUAGGUAGGGGAGAAUGGAAUUCCCGGUGUAGCGGUGAAAUGCGCAGAUAUCGGGAGGAACACCGGUGGCGAAGGCGGUUCUCUGGGCCUUACCUGACGCUGAG
rnacentral:rRNA from 1 species